CAAAAAAUAGUUUAAUUAAAAUAAUAGUAUUGGAAACUAUAGUUUAAAAGUAAUUUUAUUUUUUGA
rnacentral:tRNA from 1 species